GACGAACGCUGGCGGCGUGCCUAAUACAUGCAAGUCGAGCGAAUCAAUGGGAGCUUGCUCCCUGAGAUUAGCGGCGGACGGGUGAGUAACACGUUGGUAACCUGCCUGUAAGACUGGAAUAACUUAGGGAAACCGGAGCUAAUACCGGAUACUUUCUUUUCUCGCAUGAGGGAUGAUGGAAAGAUGGUUCUGCUAUCACUUACAGAUGCAUCCGCGGCGCAUUAGCUAGUUGGUGAGGUAACGGCUCACCAAGGCAACGAUUCGUAGCCGACCUGAGAGGGUGAUCGGCCACACUGGGACUGAGACACGGCCCAGACUCCUACGGGAGGCAGCAGUAGGGAAUCUUCCGCAAUGGACGAAAGUCUGACGGAGCAACGCCGCGUGAGCGAAGAAGGCCUUCGGGUCGUAAAGCUCUGUUGUUAGGGAAGAACAAGUACGAGAGUAACUGCUCGUACCUUGACGGUACCUAACCAGAAAGCCACGGCUAACUACGUGCCAGCAGCCGCCGUAAUAC
rnacentral:rRNA from 1 species